rnacentral:rRNA from 1 species
UGGGGAAUAUUGGUCAAUGGAGGAAACUCUGAACCAGCAACGCCGCGUGAAUGAUGAAGGUCUUCGGAUUGUAAAGUUCUUUUCUAAGGGAAGAAGAAAGUGACGGUACCUUAGGAAUAAGCCUCGGCUAACUACGUGCCAGCAGCCGCGGUAAUACGUAGGAGGCAAGCGUUAUCCGGAAUGACUGGGCGUAAAGGGUGCGUAGGUGGUUUGGCAAGUUAGUAGCGUAACCCCGGGGCUCAACCUCGGAACUACUACUAAAACUGUCGGACUUGAGUGCAGGAGGGGCAAUUGGAAUUCCUAGUGUAGCGGUGGAAUGCGUAGAUAUUAGGAGGAACACCAGUGGCGAAGGCGAAUUGCUGGACUGUAACUGACACUGAGGCACGAAAGCGUGGGGAGCAAACAGG